GGCGGCGGCGGUACGAGGCGCGCGCUCGGGGUCCCGGUCGCGAGGAGGAGGAGGAUGUGGCGCGCGGAGGGGAAAUGGCUGCCGAAAACAAGCCGGAAGAGCGUUUCCCAAAGUGUAUUCUGCGGAACUAGCACCUACUGUGUUCUCAACACCGUGCCACCUAUAGAAGAUGAUCAUGGGAACAGCAAUAGUAGUCAUGUAAAAAUCUUUUUACCGAAAAAGCUGCUUGAAUGUCUGCCGAAAUGUUCAAGUUUACCCAAAGAGAGGCACCGCUGGAACACUAAUGAGAGAUCAUGAUGCAGCCGCCCUUUUGGAUUUCUUUUUAAUAAUGUGUGACCCUUCACCUUUGAUCCCCUGACCUGCAUUACCUUGGGUUGUUGGGAGGAUAAAUGAAACACUGAGAACUCAGAAGAAAGGUGCUUUUGAAACUGAACCUCAUCCUAUGGCUGUGCCAAGAGGCAGUGGUAGUGAACCCCGUGGUGAAGGGCCAGGACCAUGGCUGUGGAGCCAGGCUGCUGAGGUUCGAAUCCCACCUUGGCCUCUUGCAAGUGUUCUGACUGCAGCACGUUAUGUAGCCGCCCUAUUCCUGAGUUUACUGCCUCUUUAAUGGGGCGACAGUGAUAGCACGCACUCACAGGAUCAUGGUGAGUUAUAGCAGCCGGAGUGAGGUCUGUAGGGCAGCGCUAAGGGCAGAUGUUCAUGGUGUGGGACCCACUCCCCCCCUCCCAGUCCCAACAGAAGACCCACAGACAUGGUGAGUCAGGACAGAGGCAAGCUCAGAGCAGAGCUACACGACUUCCUCAUCUCUCAGAGUUCAGCUACCAGAAGCGGCCUCACCUACUACUGUUACUUUUUUUUUUUAAGGUUCUUUUGUUUACCUAUUUUGGACUUUGGCGACUAAGGAAGAGUAAAGAGGCAGUCACUGUUUACCUGGUUAGCUGGACUUGCCCUUCACUCUCCCUUGGUAAGCCCUGCAGCCAGCAUAUUGGGAAUCAGGGUGUUGAGCAGUUCAGUGUUUUCUCAACUGCAUAUGUCUUCAGUGUCCUCUUAAGUCAUGGGAAGUGACCUCCUGCCACCAUGUGUAAGAAUCUGUACCAGGUGUUCUUCCCAGUACUGUCUACACAUUUUAAUCAUCAGAUUUACCCAGGAGUUAGGCAACCGGCAGGAGUGUGCUGGUGCUCAGGUAGGUCUCCACACUCCCCAGGCUCAUGGCCCUGGUGCUCCAGAGCUGCCACUCGAGAGCAGCUGUCACCGACACUCGCUGCCUUGAACGGGACAGCUUUGCUAUUUUGGCUGCAGGGCCUCAACUGGGAUCAUCUCUUCCCUCAGUUAUCAGACAGUAACAGAACUGCCCUAAGCUUAGUAAGGCUUCACUGGAAACAGUGGCUUCUUUAAUCCUGGCUGUGUGCUGAGAGUCCCUUGCAUAGUUGGUUAAAACUUGGAUAAAUGGUCUACCCUUGUUCUGAUCCUUUCCUAGCUGAGAACUACUGAUCAGAAAUCCAGGAAGUUUACUUUAUAAAGAAAGAGAAAAGCAGGUAAAUGAUGUGCGCACAUGGAAAUAUGUCUGUCUGGAAUGUCUGGGCCAAUGCUGUUCUUCCAGAGCAGAUUACACUGCAAACUAAAAUGGUUCUCUCUGCUGGCUUAGAUGUUCAGCCAACACUAACCAGUGCCUGAAGCCUCUGCCAUUGCUCUGCGAAAUAGCCCUGAGUGAGAAGCCAUCACAGAAGCCAGGCUUGUGCUUACGUUCCGAGGUUCCUGAAGUAGAGGUCUCUGGUUUCAUUUCAGUUGCUAUGAUAUAAAACCAAAAAUCUUACAGAAAUCAUCUUGGGGAGAAAGUGUUUAUUUCAGCUCAAAACUUGCAGCUGUAGUCCAGCACUGUGGGUAAGUCCCAGCAGAGGUUGAGCCAGCUAGUCACAUCAGGUCCUCACUAGAGCUGCAAGCAGCACACCCUGAACCUAGUGCUCAGCCAGCACUGGUACUUAAGAGUUAGGGAGUGAGCUGCCCGCUUGCAGGCUGGGUCUUUCAUAUUAAUUAAGGUAUCAAGACAAUCCCUGACCAUGUCCUCACAAGACAACCCGGUCUAGACAGUAGUUCAAGACUAUCUCCUGGGUGCUAGGUUGUAGUAAGCAAUCAGAACUAAGCACCACAAGGGCCGCUCUUGCUUCCUCGGUCUGCUGCUUUUGUUUUCUCUCGUGCCUUGAACAUUUAGUUUUCCUUUCUCCUUUCUUCCUCCGUAGCUCUGCACUGUCUCUCCCCACCCCCCAGUAAUCCCUGAUGUUUACAGUGUUAUUUAUCAUCACAAUGUAAUAUAUGUACAAAUCCUCCAGGGGGCCCAGCACAUAGUAGAUGUUCCAGGGGACUUUUGAAAGUAUGUUUUGGUAUCUGUUUUUUAAGGGAGUUUUUUUGUUUUUUUAAAGAU